rnacentral:lncRNA from 1 species
AGAGGUUUCUGAAGUUCUCUGCAAUUUCUUAAGUCCAAGUUAGAUAAUUUUAUUUAUAAAAAAAAUAUGUUGCAGAAUGCUUAAGGUUUUAGACAAUAUUUUCAUCAGAGCUAAUAAUUACUUCUCCCCCUUUUUGUCAGAAUCAAAAAGACAUAGUAAAAAAAAAUAAAGAGAAAAUAAAUAAAGAGAAAAACUUGAAAUUCAUAGAUAGAAGCACAAAGGCAACAAACAAAACAUCAGAUUCAAAAGGAACAAGAAAAACAUCAGAUCCAAAAGAAGACAGAAGCAAAAAAAUAGGCAAGCAAAAAAUAAAAUCCUAAGUGCCUAAGGGUUCGGAG